rnacentral:rRNA from 1 species
UAGUAACGGCGAGUGAAGCGGCAACAGCUCAAAUUUGAAAUCUGGCUUCGGCCCGAGUUGUAAUUUGCAGAGGAAGCUUUAGGCGCGGCACCUUCUGAGUCCCCUGGAACGGGGCGCCACAGAGGGUGAGAGCCCCGUAUAGUUGGAUGCCUAGCCUGUGUAAAGCUCCUUCGACGAGUCGAGUAGUUUGGGAAUGCUGCUCAAAAUGGGAGGUAAAUUUCUUCUAAAGCUAAAUACCGGCCAGAGACCGAUAGCGCACAAGUAGAGUGAUCGAAAGAUGAAAAGCACUUUGAAAAGAGGGUUAAAUAGCACGUGAAAUUGUUGAAAGGGAAGCGCUUGUGACCAGACUUGCGCCAGGCUGAUCAUCCGGUGUUCUCACCGGUGCACUCUGCCCGGCGCAGGCCAGCAUCGGUUCUCGCGGGGGGAUAAAGGCCCCGGGAACGUAGCUCCUCCGGGAGUGUUAUAGCCCGGGGCGUAAUGCCCUCGCGGGGACCGAGGACCGCGCAUCU